rnacentral:rRNA from 1 species
GACGAACCGAGCGAACGUUGUUCGGAAUCACUGGGCUUAAAGGGCGCGUAGGCGGGCUGCCGCGUCCGGGGUGAAAUCCCACGGCUCAACCGUGGAACGGCCCCGGGUACGGGCGGCCUCGAGGAGGGUAGGGGCGUGCGGAACUGUGGGUGGAGCGGUGAAAUGCGCAGAUAUCAGGAGGAACACCAGCGGCGAAGGCGGCGCUCUGGGCUGGAACUGACGCUGAGGAGCGAAAGCGUGGGGAGCGAACAGG